rnacentral:rRNA from 1 species
UCAAUAAGCGGAGGAAAAGAAACCAACCGGGAUUGCCCCAGUAACGGCGAGUGAAGCGGCAAGAGCUCAAAUUUGAAAGCUGGCCCCCUCGGGGUCCGCGUUGUAAUUUGCAGAGGAUGCUUCGGGAGCGGCCCCCGUCUAAGUGCCCUGGAACGGGCCGUCAUAGAGGGUGAGAAUCCCGUCUGGGACGGGGUGCCCGCGCCCGUGUGAAGCUCCCUCGACGAGUCGAGUUGUUUGGGAAUGCAGCUCUAAAUGGGUGGUAAAUUUCAUCUAAAGCUAAAUAUUGGCCGGAGACCGAUAGCGCACAAGUAGAGUGAUCGAAAGAUGAAAAGCACUUUGAAAAGAGAGUUAAACAGCACGUGAAAUUGUUGAAAGGGAAGCGCUUGCGACCAGACUCGCCCACGGGGUUCAGCCGGCACUCGUGCCGGUGUACUUCCCCGCGGGCGGGCCAGCGUCGGUUUGGGCGGCCGGUCAAAGGCCUCCGGAAUGUAUCGCCUCUCGGGGCGUCUUAUAGCCGGGGGUGCAAUGCGGCCUGCCUGGACCGAGGAACGCGCUUCGGCACGGACGCUGGCAUAAUGGUCGUAAGCGACCCGUCUUGAAACACGGACCAAGGAGUCUAACAUCUACGCGAGUGUUCGGGUGUCAAACCCGUGCGCGCAGUGAAAGCGAACGGAGGUGGGAACCCCCUGGGGUGCACCAUCGACCGAUCCUGAUGUCUUCGGAUGGAUUUGAGUAAGAGCGUAGCUGUUGGGACCCGAAAGAUGGUGAACUAUGCCUGAAUAGGGCGAAGCCAGAGGAAACUCUGGUGGAGGCUCGCAGCGGUUCUGACGUGCAAAUCGAUCGUCAAAUUUGGGUAUAGGGGCGAAAGACUAAUCGAACCAUCUGGUAGCUG